CAGUCUCUGAUGAAUCUCAAAUAGGAUGAAACGCGCGUCAAACUG
rnacentral:hammerhead_ribozyme from 1 species